rnacentral:tRNA from 1 species
GCCCGGGUGUUGUAACUAGUAGCCAAGCAUGCUUGAGGUGCAUGUGCCGCAAGGCGUGCAGGUGCAAGUCCUGUCCCGGGCACCA